CCAAAAUGGAGUUUAAGUGGUCAGAGACAGAGGGAGUUGACUUGCUUUGGAGGUGAACAUUCUGAGGCAUUAAAAAUGAACAAUAUAGGUGCCCUCCACCACCUGACUAAUCAGCAGAGCCGAGAAAGUCAGUGAACCCAGCAGCUCAGCUGUUGCUGGGAGGUUUAUGACCUCUGACCUCUAUACGAUUCAUCACUGAACCUGAACCCGGGCAGGAGGAUUCCUUACCAUCACCUGUGUCCUGCAAGGCUACUGUUCACACUCACACACCCCAUCACUUGACAGCAUGUGUGCGUGGAAUGAUGGAAUCCCUGCCUGACACACCAGUGGCAUGUUCGCACGGCUCUGGAGUGACAAUUAGGUGUCAAUCAAGGGCCUAAACCAACCAGGCAGCUGCCCUGGUCCGGUCCGGAGGUGUCUGAUGUCACCAGGCGUUGCUCUGAAUCUGCCAUGGCGUGUCCUCACAGGUCAUCAUCAGCCAAGGCCGCGGUUGGCCCAGGGGGAGGUCAAAGGUCUUCUGAGUGGUUCAAUGGGAUUAGCUCAAAUGCCAGGCCUAUCACAUGCCUCUUUUCAGAAUGUCAGUUGAGUUGUC